CUGGAUGGUUGACAUGGGAAGGCGGAAACAAGUUGCCAAGGGUCCUUACGCUGCAGAAAAACACAACCCCAGCCCAACGGCCACUAUACCCCCAUCGUGCUGCCCACCAAUGCCCCUCAGCGGGGCAACACGCGCAUGACACAUAAACCUAUCCAAAGAACUUCGAACGACUCUCAGACUCUCAUGUGGUGACAUCUAUAGAGGUAGCUACCUCCUCAACCCGGGAAGAUCCCUGCAGGUUCAGCUGACUGGUUCCCCCCUACACCAAGCACUACCCCUUCUGAGCUCCAAAGGCCAUACUACUAGGCUAAAUGACUCGACCGAACCCACCCCGUCCCGGCCCGCUGGCUGUCCAGCCGCCCCUCAGCGGCCGUUUGCCACAAGCCUGCUGCUGGCAGAGCCUAGCGCGGAGGCGUCUGCGAUUGACCAGCGAAGAAGGGAAAAGGAAACUCACUAAUCCAUGAUUGAUUUCUUUUCAGAACUAGCCAGAGACACAAUGACUUUCAAGGUAAAAUGCAUUCCCCAAUCCGCUUCGAACUGUAUGAAUGGUUAUUUAUACACCCCGCCCGGCCGUCAGGGCGAUGGAUUCAGGGCGAUGACCCGGAUCCACUUCGCCUUGCACUUUUUGAUACAGGGCGAUGGAUGACAUACAACAAAGGUCACACUUGGCAAGAGAACAAAAGCCUGCCAACUGAGAACAAUUCAGUAUUCCUUUAAUGAAUAAAAGGAACAGAAUGCUGCCAAAACAAUCAGUGUUGGAAAACAUAGGUGGCGCCGCAAUGCUCACCCUCUGAUCUACAUAAAGCCUUGAGGAAUCAUAAGACAUGAUUGGAUGGCGAACCAGUAGCUUUAGUACUCAGUCCAUUGCUGGCACAGCAAGCUGACGCAUGGAUGCGCGGGAAGCCCAUGACCCAAUCUCUAGCCGUUUCGGACAUAGGGACCAUAUAGGC
rnacentral:lncRNA from 1 species